UGUCAUUUUUCCAUUUCUCACCCAUUUCCCUUUUUAUAUCAUCUUGUUACUUCAUUUUAAAAUGCAAUAUAUAUUCUCUUCCCAAGACUUUCUGCCGUUCCUUUCUACAGAUCGUGCCUUCUCUCCUCCUCAGCUCCCCGGGACAGCGGCGUGUCUAGCUGGGGCGGGCUGGGUGGGGUCCCAGGCCGGCCUCUAGUGCCUGAGUUGUCACCCUGUGCUGCAGGCUCAGAGUCCCCUUCCUGCCCUGGCUCUCCGGUGCGCUGAGCUGCUGGGGGGUGAGGGUGUCUCCCCAGCAUGCUCCGGUUGUCACUGCGGCUCCUUUGGCCCCAGCUCCAGCCAGCCGGUGAGAAGGGCACGUCCCAGAAUGCAUUUUCCACCUACCCCGGCCUACCCCGUCCAUAGUUUACGGUUUUCUGCUUGGUUGUAGACAGAUGGUGACAGAGGACGGGAGUGCUGUGAGAAGGGGAGGUAGCAAGGUUUCUGCUGCGGAGGACAGCUCUCAAGAGGCGGAAGGAGCGGCUGGCCCCACUUCUGGGGGGGCAGACCCUGGGUCAGGGAUGGCACGGGUGGGAGAGCGGAUGUGAAGCCUCUUCCUGCCUGUUCCCAGCAGGCCUCUGUUUGACAGGGGCACCUGGGUGGACAGGUGCGAGUGCUGGGGGUCUCCCCAUUGCCCACGUUCCUGACACACCUAGAAGUUCACAGGCUCAUUGCUGGGCCCCUCACUCUUUUGAGCUGGAUGGCUCAUGAUCCAAUUUUCAGUGCACAUUUACUGUUUACUUGCCCCACCUCCACCCCGCCACACUCACUUCCUUGUCUUCCCGCAACAGCUCCUGCCCAGACUUGGGGUCCAGCCUUCUCGUAGUGUGGUGGCUUGGGUGGGCUCUGGAGGUGGAACACACGACCUGACCCAAGCCAAUCGGCGCUUCGCCUUCCCCUGACCACAGCGUUGGGUUCAGGGCUGGGCUUGUCACCAGAGACUGGUACAAGCAGAAUGAGGUUCAGGACUUCUGUGGAAACUUCUGGAAAGGAGACACAGGUGUCCUUGCUAGACCUGAGCCUGAAGUCUUGUGAGCUGAGCCUCAAAUGACACAUUGGAGCUCGAGAGCAAAGCUGAGGACUGGAGAGGGGGCAUCAUAUACUGAGUACAGCAAGGAGCCCUGAUCCAGCCUUGCCUGAAGCUGGCCUACCCUUAGAUCCUUUAGCAAAAGAACUAAUACAUUCUCUUUUAUGUUUAAACCCCUUUGGGUCAGAUUGCCAGUUACCUGAAGUAGAAUGAGUCUUCAUCAACACAAGCGUGAUCACAGGAAAAGAAAAAAUGACCAAAUAUAAUAAGAAGGAUAUAUUCCUAGGCGAAGAGGCAAAGGGGACCGUGCUCAUCCUCACUGAACCCAUGGGGGAGCCAGGCACUCCGGGGUGCGGGGCCAGGCAGCCCCACUGGCCCGCGACACACAUCUGAGGAGCCCUCCUUGAUGCUGACCAGGGAACUCCCUCUCUGUGGGCUGAGACGCAAACUCGCGGGGCUCUUCUCUCCAGAGAGGGCAGGAGCUGAAAGCGGAAACGGUUUCAAGAGGAAUUUGGCCAGACAGGCGGCGCCCACUGCCCACGCCACAGCCGGCCACUCCGGGCUCGGGGGAGCACGCGUGUGUUAGCACUUGCCUCACCCUGAGGGGACAGAGCGCAGAGCUCGGAGGAGCUGCUGUGGCCUGCGGCAGCCCUGGACCCCGGGUCAUGCCGGCUGUUGCUGUGGGCACAGAACCCCAGCCAAAGGCACUCGAUACCGCUUCUGUCUGUGCAUCCAGGAAACUGAGUGGAGACAAAAAAGGGGGAAAAAGUUAAACUGGAGUCAGCCUGGGCCAGAGAAUUCCUGUGUGUGCAAGGUGUGUGUGUGUGUGUGUGUGUGUGUGUGUGUGUGUGUGUUUUGGAAGUCAUGCAAGAUGUUGUCUAUCCUCAUGUGACACUUGGUAUCUGUUUUUCUACAGCAGUGCCCCAUUGUGUUCUAGUUCUUGAAAGAGGCAGUGAGGAAAUGUGUUUACAGUGAAAUUCAUUUGGGAAAUAAUUUAUGUAUGUUACAGUCCUCUCUUGGAGAACUACAAAGUAUGUUAGCAUAUUAAAGGCUCUGAGAAGUCCUGCA